rnacentral:rRNA from 1 species
GACGAACCGAGCGAACGUUGUUCGGAAUCACUGGGCUUAAAGGCGGCGUAGGCGGGCUGCCGCGUCCGGGGUGAAAUCCCUCGGCUUAACCGGGAACUGCGUCUGAUACUGGAUGGCUUGAAUCCGGGAGAGGGAUGCGGAAUUCCAGGUGUAGCGGUGAAAUGCGUAGAUAUCUGGAGGAACACCGGUGGCGAAGGCGCAUCCUGGACCGGCAUUGACGCUGAGGAGCGAAAGCCAGGGAGCAAGCGGGAU